rnacentral:rRNA from 1 species
GAUGAACGCUGGCGGCGUGCCUAAUACAUGCAAGUCGAGCGAACAGACGAGGAGCUUGCUCCUCUGACGUUAGCGGCGGACGGGUGAGUAACACGUGGAUAACCUACCUAUAAGACUGGGAUAACUUCGGGAAACCGGAGCUAAUACCGGAUAAUAUAUUGAACCGCAUGGUUCAAUAGUGAAAGACGGUUUUGCUGUCACUUAUAGAUGGAUCCGCGCCGCAUUAGCUAGUUGGUAAGGUAACGGCUUACCAAGCCAACGAUGCGUAGCCGACCUGAGAGGGUGAUCGGCCACACUGGAACUGAGACACGGUCCAGACUCCUACGGGAGGCAGCAGUAGGGAAUCUUCCGCAAUGGGCGAAAGCUUGACGGAGCAACGCCGCGUGAGUGAUGAAGGUCUUCGGAUCGUAAAACUCUGUUAUUAGGGAAGAACAAAUGUGUAAGUAACUAUGCACGUCUUGACGGUACCUAAUCAGAAAGCCACGGCUAACUACGUG